GAUGAACGCUAGCUAUAGGCUUAACACAUGCAAGUCGAGGGACCGGCACACGGGUGAGUAACGCGUAUCCAACCUACCCAUAACUAAGGGAUAACCCAGCGAAAGUUGGACUAAUACCUUAUGGUUAUGGAUGAGGAUGCGUCUGAUUAGCUUGUUGGCGGGGUAACGGCCCACCAAGGAAACGAUCAGUAGGGGUGCUGAGAGGAAGGCCCACCAGAUUGGAGAUACGGCACGGGCCAAUCUCGUACGGAAGGAUGCGGUGAAGGAUAGAGUGGAAGGGACGCAAGUCUGACACAGCCAAGUAGCGGGCAGGAUGGCGGCCUAUGGGUUGUAAACUCCUUGUAUAUGAGGAUAGGUACCAGAUGAAUAAGGACCGGCUAAUUCCGUGCCAGCAGCCGCGGUAAUAC
rnacentral:rRNA from 1 species